rnacentral:tRNA from 1 species
GGCCGCCUGGCGAAAUGGUAUCGCGUCUGACUACGAUUCGUAAAUAUCAGGAGAUUGCAGGUUCGAGCCCUGCGGUGGUCA